CCGCACCCCAGCUGCUCCCCUGCAUGACUGGAGUCAUCAGGUGUCUGCUCCUCCUAGUUACGUCACUCAGUGUAACCCCCAAGCUCCACCCACGUGGUUGCAAAUAGCAACUCAAUGGAAUUGUUGAGAUGAACGAGGGUUUCUAAGCUGGGAGAUAAUGAGCGAAGAGAAGGACCGACCUGCCCGUUGGAGGACAAAUUGGGAAGCAGGAGAAG